GCCUGGCAGUGCGUGUUAGCUGGCUGUUGUCCCAAGGUGCCAACAGCUGCUCACAGCGCUCCAGACUGC
rnacentral:pre_miRNA from 12 species